UGAAUACGAGAUGCUACGGCGUCGAAGCAGUCUAUGUCAUACUUCCAAGAAAAGCUUGCACUGUCAUAAACAAGUAAUGCCUGUACCAUAACCGACACAGGUGGGUAGGUAGAGUAUACUAAGGGGCGCGAGAUAACUCUCUCUAAGGAACUCGGCAAAAUGACUCCGUAACUUCGGGAGAAGGAGUGCCUUAUUUAUAAGGUUGCAAUAACAAGAUCCAAGCAACUGUUUACCAAAAACACAGGUCUCCGCUAAGUCGUAAGACGAUGUAUGGGGGCUGACGCCUGCCCAGUGCCAGAAGGUUAAAGAAGUUGGUUAGCAUCCGCGAAGCUGAUAACUGAAGCCCUGGUGAACGGCGGCCGUAACGAUAACGGUCCUAAGGUAGCGAAAUUCCUUGUCGGGUAAGUUCCGACCCGCACGAAAGGCGUAAUGAUUUGGAUACUGUCUCGGAGAGGGGCUCGGUGAAAUAGACUUGUUUGUGAAGAUGCGGACUACCUGCACCAGGACAGAAAGACCCUAUGAAGCUUUACUGUAACCUGAAAUUGAAAUUGGACUUUACUUGCGCAGUAUAGGUGGGAGGCGUUGAGAAUAUUCUUGCGGGAUUAUUGGAGCCAUCAGUGAGAUACCACUCUUGUAAUGUUAGAUUUCUAACUUUGUAUCAUUAUCUGGUCAAAGAACAGUUUCAGGCGGGCAGUUUGACUGGGGCGGUCGCCUCCUAAACGGUAACGGAGGCGCACAAAGGUUUCCUCUGAACGGGUAGAAAUCGUAUCUAGAGUGUAAAGGCAUAAGGAAGCUUGACUGUGAGACCUACAAGUCGAGCAGGGACGAAAGUCGGUCUUAGUGAUCUGACGGUGCUGAGUGGAAAGGCCGUCACUCAACGGAUAAAAGUUACUCUAGGAUAACAGGCUGAUCUCCCCCAAGAGUUCACAUCGACGGGGAGGUUUGGCACCUCGAUGUCGGCUCAUCGCAUCCUGGGGCGGUAGUACGUCCCAAGGGUUGGGCUGUUCGCCCAUGAAAGCGGUACGCGAGCUGGGUUCAGAACGUCGUGAGACAGUUCGGUCCAUAUCCGGUGUAGGCGUUAGAAUAUUGAGAGGAGCCUUCUUUAGUACGAGAGGACCGAGAAGGACAUACCUCUGGUGUACCAGUUAUCGUGCCAACGGUAAACGCUGGGUAGCUAUGUGUGGAGUGGAUAACCGCUGAAAGCAUCUAAGUGGGAAGCCCACCUCAAGAUGAUUGCUCUCACAGGGUUAACC
rnacentral:rRNA from 1 species